AAUUGACCCCGUUUUGCGCAUGCGUGAGACCGUGCAUUUUCACUGCCACCUGCAUUGCGUUUCUCCGUCCACCAUUUUCCACCUGUGGCUGCAGACGAGUUGAAGAGGCUCCCGACUACAAGAAGUCAUUUUUUGGCCUCUGGCACUGAUGAUGUGGAGAGGGGCAUCUCAAGCACAGUCAUGGGGAUUUACAUAAUCCGAAGUUAUGACAACGGGGAGCCACAGGAUGUGGGAAUUGUAAUCAAAGGCAUUAAAGUUCUGACCAACGUUGGCAGUGUCAUCAUGGGUUUUGUUGUGCUCUUUGGGCUCAUUUAUGCCCUUGAUCUGAGAUUUCCAGAAAACCUCAAGUACACCUUUGAGUUCAUCCAGAAAAUCAUAAUGAAUCUGGAUGGACACAAGCUCAAUCCAAAGAUACAGCAGCUGAAAAUCAAAUUGUUUUCUUAAAGUGAACACCAGAUGACAAAUAAAUAAAGUUUCUUUACGCUUUUCGUAUUUGGGAUUCAUUUGUCUUUUCAAUCUUCUGCCAUCUUUCAUCUACUAAAUCAACAACACUGAACCCAUGGAUGUUUUCCAUGUGACAUUUUACAUUGUGGCUAAGCUACAAAAAGUAGGCAUGUGGACAAGUAAAAAAAAAAAAAAAAUUGGACAUACAAAUGCAAAAUAAUGUUUUUAUGAUAAAUGUUUUCUAUGUAGCCAGGGUGAUGGAGUGACUUGGUGUGAUAAUUGAUACCCCUUACAAACUAAUGGUUGAUGAGGUUUUAAGUUUGGAUUUCCCAAUGCAACUUUUUUAUUUAUUUAUUUAUUAUUUUUGGGAUGCCAACAUCUGCACAUCAAAGCUCAUUCAUGUACAGUAUAGUGUCAACAAGUGUCUCCAUUACUCUCAUACCUGUCAGGAAAUUACUUGACGCAACACUUGUUAAAAUGGACUUGACCUAAUGCUUUGUUUUUUGUUUUUUUGUUGUUGUUUUUUUCUGAAUUUUUGACGUUUAGAUUAUUGAAUUAUGACUGGCCAGACCAAGUCACAUGUUCAGAAAUUGUUCUAGUUUUGGUGACAAUGGGUCUCCUUGUUAUAAUCAAACUGUCUUGGUCUGUUUUCACCUUCCUAUAGUCCAAAUUUGGUCCCCACAGCCUUUUUUUUUUAACUGUGUUUUUGUUUGAAUUGACCAUUUGUACUACACAGAUUAAAAAUGCUGUACCUCUCGAA